UGGGGAAUUUUGCACAAUGGGGGAAACCCUGAUGCAGCGACGCCGCGUGAUUUAGAAGGCCUUCGGGUUGUAAAAAUCUUUUCUAUGGGAAGAAAAUGACAGUACCAUAGGAAUAAGGACCGGCUAAUUACGUGCCAGCAGCCGCGGUAAUACGUAAGGUCCGAGCGUUGUCCGGAAUCAUUGGGCGUAAAGGGUACGUAGGCGGGUAAGCAAGUUAGAAGUGAAAUCCUAUAGCUCAACUAUAGUAAGCUUUUAAAACUGCUCAUCUUGAGGUAUGGAAGGGAAAGUGGAAUUCCUAGUGUAGCGGUGAAAUGCGCAGAUAUUAGGAGGAAUACCGGUGGCGAAGGCGACUUUCUGGUCAUAACCUGAUGCUGAGGUACGAAAGCGUGGGUAGCAAACAGG
rnacentral:rRNA from 1 species